rnacentral:rRNA from 1 species
UACGUAGGGGGCAAGCGUUGUCCGGAAUUAUUGGGCGUAAAGCGCGCGCAGGCGGUUUUUUAAGUCUAGUGUAUAAUCCACGGGCUCAACCCGUGUUCGCACUGGAAGCUGGGAGACUGGAGUGUAGGAGAGGAAAGUGGAAUUCCACGUGUAGCGGUGAAAUGCGUAGAGAUGUGGAGGAACACCUGUGGCGAAGGCGGCCGGCUGGGGGUGCCCUGACGCUGAGGCGCGAAAGCGUGGGGAGCGAACCGG